UAUACUUUUGUGUUUGUCUUGUUCUCCUCAAAACGUGAAAUUGCUAGCCAUUUGCAAUUGACACGUAAUAGUGGGUCCGAUUCUGACGACAAGAACUCCAGUACGUCCAAGGAAGCAUUAGUUCGAAUUCGAAUUUUCUCUUCACCCAGGCGUUGUAGUGAGAGCUCGCAGUACUUACCGGCGCUUCGCACUGGCAAGCUGUACUCGCUAUUAAGCAAUUCAAAAUUCACAAGUUGAUGAAAUUUUAAAUACCGCCGGAAGAUCAAGUAAAAAAAGGAUAUAGUAUGAACUAUCGUUUAAAAUAUCGUUUAAAAGAUAGUCACAAAUCUUAUACUAUUUUAAUGCAAUAUGAGCUGCAUUUUUCAUGUUUAAUUCUUUUUUACUCAAAUAUUCUUUUCUACUAGAAUGACAAAACUAUCAUGGUUUUUAAAUUUCUGUAAGCCAUAUUUCUAUGGAAAAGGCCGUUAAAAGCCUUAUUUGGACCAAAAUUGAAUUAUUGUCGUCCUGUACAAAAAUUGAUUUGCUAUAUAUUCCUUAGAAGAGAAAUAUUUCCUUUGACAAAAAUUAAUGAUUUUUUCAAAUCUUAUCUAUCAUGAAAGUUUAAGUUAUAUACAGGCUUAUCAUAGUAGCAGAUUUUUGCAGCAAAAUAAAGUUCUAAAAAAUACAGCUCAUAUUCGUUUAACAAUUAACUUUCAACUGCUUUGAGUGAAAACGUAAGUUCUAAAUUUCGACAUGACAUGUUUCAUGAAUAUUGACUGAUGGAAAUAUCUAAAACUGAGAUACUUUUCUUAAUCUAAACUGUACACUAGUAGAUGAUAUACAUAUAAUCAAUGACUGUGAACAUUUUUGUGAAUUUCCGUAUAAGUAUCAAGAGACAUUUUAUCCAGAACUUAUUUACCUGGCAAAGCGAAGGUAUUGUGACAAUCACUGUUCAUAUCGAACACACCCGAUUUUGUUUUUCCCAUAAUUCUUUGCAACGUGCUUGGCCGACCCUAACAAUAGGCGCUAAGAUAUACCCGGCCGAGCUGUCCAGCGAUUAAGACGUGCUUAGUGUGUGAAGGGGGUAUCGUGUUAGAAGCCUGUGUGGCAUGUUUUAGUUUCACAAGUUCAGCAUUUGACGCGGUCACGGAUAGCUGACCGUGUGUCAUAUUGUUGAUGUUGAGAAGAUGAUGAUGCGAUGGUGAUGACGAUGAUGAUUUGAUGGUGAUGUUGAUGAAGACGAUGAUGUUAUGGUGAUGUCGACGACUACGAUGAUGAUGAUGGUCAUGUCGAUGACGAUGCGAUGUUGAUGUUGAUGACGCCAAUGAUGUUAUGGUGAUGAUGACGACGAUGAUGAUGAUGGUCAUGUCGAUGAUGAUGAUGUAGAUGAUGUCGUUCAUGGUGACGUCGGUGAUGAUGAUGAAGGAGAUGAUUAUGGUGAUGACGAUGAUGUCUAUUAUGAUUAUGGUGUUGUAGGCGAUGAUGUUGACGAUAGUGUCGAUGAUUAUGAUGACGAUGGUGAUGAUGAUGAUGAUUGUGGUGACGCAACUACUUUAGUUGUGGUUGUCCGUAGUUGGUCCAGGACUACAGCCCCGGAGAUUCGGACACUCUUCUAAUAUAUUUUUGGUCAUUUGUAUAAACAUCAUAUUUUUUCUUGUUGAGUGAAAGGUGUGUGAGUGUUUGUGUGGUUUAGUGUUUAUAUUUCUAUCUUUUCUUUCUUUCUCUUAUUUUUUUGUUAAUAAAUUUUGUUAAAUUUAA